rnacentral:rRNA from 1 species
UACGUAGGGUGCGAGCGUUGUCCGGAAUUAUUGGGCGUAAAGAGCUUGUAGGCGGUUUGUCGCGUCUGCCGUGAAAUUUCGAGGCUCAACCUCGAACUUGCGGUGGGUACGGGCAGACUAGAGUGUGGUAGGGGAGACUGGAAUUCCUGGUGUAGCGGUGAAAUGCGCAGAUAUCAGGAGGAACACCGGUGGCGAAGGCGGGUCUCUGGGCCGAUACUGACGCUGAGGAGCGAAAGCAUGGGUAGCGAACAGG